UACGUAGGGUGCGAGCGUUGUCCGGAAUUAUUGGGCGUAAAGAGCUUGUAGGCGGUCUGUCGCGUCUGCUGUGAAAAUCCGGGGCUCAACCCCGGACUUGCAGUGGGUACGGGCAGACUAGAGUGUGGUAGGGGAGACUGGAAUUCCUGGUGUAGCGGUGAAAUGCGCAGAUAUCAGGAGGAACACCGAUGGCGAAGGCAGGUCGCUGGGCCACUACUGACGCUGAGAAGCGAAAGCAUGGGGAGCGAACAGG
rnacentral:rRNA from 1 species